GGCGUGGGAACCUGGUGGGUAGUAGUCAAGCGAUGGGGUGACGCAGGAAGGUAGCUGAUCCCGGCCGGUGGUUGUGCCGGGGUAAGCGUGUAGGCCGGUGUGUAGGCAAAUCCGCACACCAUGAAGGCUGAGACGUGAUGCCGAGCCGAUUCAGGUGAAGUCAGUGAUCCUAUGCUGCCGAGAAAAGCCUCUAGCGAAUUCUUAGCGGCCCGUACCUCAAACCGACACAGGUGGUCAGGUAGAGAAUACCAAGGCGACGGGCGAACUGUGGUUAAGGAACUCGGCAAAUUACCCCCGUAACUUCGGGAGAAGGGGGGCCGGACACGUGAAGCAACACGCUUGUGGAGCGUGGUAUGGCCGCAGAGACCAGGGGGAAGCGACUGUUUACUAAAAACACUGGUCCAUGCGAAGAAGUAAUUCGAUGUAUAUGGACUGACGCCUGCCCGGUGCUGGAACGUUAAGGGGACCUGUUAGCUCUUCGGGGCGAAGCGGAGAACUUAAGCGCCAGUAAACGGCGGUGGUAACUAUAACCAUCCUAAGGUAGCGAAAUUCCUUGUCGGGUAAGUUCCGACCUGCACGAAUGGCGUAACGACUUCCCUACUGUCUCAACCACAGGCCCGGCGAAAUUGCAGUACGAGUAAAGAUGCUCGUUACGCGCGGCAGGACGGAAAGACCCCGGGACCUUUACUAUAGCUUGACAUUGGUAUCUGAGUUAAUUUGUGUAGGAUAGGUGGGAGCCUGUGAAGCUCGUACGCCAGUACGGGUGGAGGCAAUCUUGAAAUACCACUCUGGUUGAUUCGGGUAUCUAACUUCGGACCGUGAUCCGGUUCAGGGACAGUGUCUGGUGGGUAGUUUAACUGGGGCGGUUGCCUCCUAAAGAGUAACGGAGGCGCCCAAAGGUUCCCUCAGCCUGGUUGGCAAUCAGGUGUUGAGUGUAAGUGCACAAGGGAGCUUGACUGUGAGACUGACAGGUCGAGCAGGGACGAAAGUCGGGACUAGUGAUCCGGCACCGGCAUGUGGAAGCGGUGACGCUCAACGGAUAAAAGGUACCCCGGGGAUAACAGGCUGAUCUUCCCCAAGAGUCCAUAUCGACGGGAUGGUUUGGCACCUCGAUGUCGGCUCGUCGCAUCCUGGGGCUGUAGCAGGUCCCAAGGGUUGGGCUGUUCGCCCAUUAAAGCGGUACGCGAGCUGGGUUUAGAACGUCGUGAGACAGUUCGGUCCCUAUCCGCCGUGCGCGUAGGAUACUUGAGAAGGGCUGUCCCUAGUACGAGAGGACCGGGACGGACGAACCUCUGGUGUGCCAGUUGUCCCGCCAGGGGCACGGCUGGUUAGCUACGUUCGGAAGGGAUAACCGCUGAAAGCAUCUAAGCGGGAAGCUCGCUUCAAGAUGAGGUAUCCCACCCACACUUGUGUGGGGUAAGGCCCCCAGCUAGACCACUGGGUUGAUAGGCAGGAAAUGUAAGCCCGGUAACGGGUUCAGUUGACCUGUACUAAUAGGCCGAGGACUUGACCUA
rnacentral:rRNA from 1 species